AUGUGCAUGGAAGAAUAUGUGUCUGCCGCAGCAGAGGCAGCAUCCAGCAGCAGUGCCAGCAGUUCCAGCUGGUUGCUUUACUUUUGCUUCACGAACAUAGUCACUGUGCCGAAGAGAAAGUCUCCAAAGAAUGCAGAGGGCAAAGAUGGAUCCAAAGUAACUAACCAGGAGCCCACAAGACGGUCUGCCAGAUUGUCAGCGAAACCUGCUCCACCAAAACCUGAACCCAAACCAAGAAACACAUCUUCUAAGAAAGAACCUGGAGCAAAGAUUAGCAGAGGUGCUAAAGGGGAGAAGGAGGAAAAGCAGGAAGCUGGAAAAGAAGGCACAGAAAACUGAAUCUGUGGAUAACAAGG